rnacentral:rRNA from 1 species
GAUGAACGCUGGCGGCGUGCCUAAUACAUGCAAGUCGAGCGAACAGACGAGGAGCUUGCUCCUCUGACGUUAGCGGCGGACGGGUGAGUAACACGUGGAUAACCUACCUAUAAGACUGGGAUAACUUCGGGAAACCGGAGCUAAUACCGGAUAAUAUAUUGAACCGCAUGGUUCAAUAGUGAAAGACGGUUUUGCUGUCACUUAUAGAUGGAUCCGCGCCGCAUUAGCUAGUUGGUAAGGUAACGGCUUACCAAGGCAACGAUGCGUAGCCGACCUGAGAGGGAGACAGGGCAGAAGGGGAGAGAGCGCCGGGAGAGACGAAUAGGGGAGGCACAAGUGGGGAAUGUUGGGAAAGGGUAUAAGGAUGGAAGGAGAAAUGUAGAGGGAAGGAAAAAGGUUUUAGGAACUUAAAAACAUGUGAAUAGGGAAGAACAAAAAGGUAAGAAAAAACGAACGGCCAGAAGGGAAGGAAAAAGAAAGAAAAGACAAGCCAAGUG